UGAGGGAUUUUGCGCAAUGGGCGAAAGCCUGACGCAGCAACGCCGCGUGAGUGAAGAAGGCCUUUGGGUCGUAAAGCUCUGUCAACAGGGAAGAAGUUAUUGUAUUUAAAUAGAGUAUAAUAUUGACGGUACCUGAGAAGGAAGCACCGGCUAACUCCGUGCCAGCAGCCGCGGUAAUACGGGGGGUGCAAGCGUUAUUCGGAAUUAUUGGGCGUAAAGGGCGCGUAGGCGGUUCUUUAAGUCAGAUGUGAAAGCCCUGAGCUUAACUUAGGAAGAGCAUUUGAAACUAUGGGACUUGAGUACGGUAGAGGAAAGCGGAAUUCCUGGUGUAGAGGUGAAAUUCGUAGAUAUCAGGAGGAACACCGGUGGCGAAGGCGGCUUUCUGGACCUGUACUGACGCUGAUGCGCGAAGGCGUGGGUAGCGAACAGG
rnacentral:rRNA from 1 species